rnacentral:rRNA from 1 species
UACGUAGGUGACCAGCGUUGUCCGGAUUUACUGGGCGUAAAGAGCGCGCAGGCGGUCGUUCAAGUCGAGUGUGAAAGCCCCCGGCUCAACUGGGGAGGGUCAUUCGAUACUGAUCGACUUGAAGGCAGGAGAGGGAAGUGGAAUUCCCGGUGUAGUGGUGAAAUGCGUAGAUAUCGGGAGGAACACCAGUGGCGAAGGCGACUUCCUGGCCUGUUCUUGACGCUGAGGCGCGAAAGCGAGGGGAGCAAACGGG